CAGCCGCCGCGGUAGUACGUAGGUGGCAAGCGUUGUCCGGAAUUAUUGGGCGUAAAGGGCUCGCAGGCGGUUUCUUAAGUCUGACGUGAAAGCCCCCGGCCCAACCGGGGAGGGUCAUUGGAAACUGGGAAACUUGAGUGCAGAAGAGGAGAGUGGAAUUCCACGUGUAGCGGUGAAAUGCGUAGAGAUGUGGAGGAACACCAGUGGCGAAGGCGACUCUCUGGUCUGUAACUGACGCUGAGGAGCGAAAGCGUGGGGAGCGAACAGGAUUAGAUACCCGGGUAGUCCCUGUCUCUUAUAC
rnacentral:rRNA from 1 species